rnacentral:ncRNA from 1 species
UUUGAGGCAAAAAGUUUGACUUUGGUUUAAAAUCCAUCGCGCGUUUUUUAAUGCCAUAUACGAAAGAAUCUAAUAGUUGAAGAUUAUUGUAGUAGCUGGAAUUAAAAGAUUCUAAAAAUGUCAAUUAGAUUUGAACUUAAUCCUGUCUAACAUGGUGCCAGCAGUCGCGGUUAUACCAUGAGGGUGAGUGAUAAAUGUUAGGGUAAAGUUUUAAAUUAAUGGGAUAACAGGUAAAUAAUUAUAUUGGUGAAAUAUGAGUAUAAAAAACUCUGUAUAAAAUUUUUAUAGGCUUUUAGAUUAACAAAUAAACUAGGAUUAGAUACCCUGUUAUUAAAAAUGUAAAAUUAUCCUGAGUAGUAAAAGAAAUCUCGAAAUUAAAAAAGUUUGGCGGUAAUUUAAGCUAAUUAGAGGAACCUGUGUAUAGAAUGAUAGUCCCCAAAUAUUUUACUUAAAUUUGAAUGAGCAGCUUAUAUAUCGCCGUUGAAGAUUUAUUUAGAAGAAUGUUUUCUUACACAAUUUGUUGAUGAAUUCAGGUCAAGGUGUAGUAAAUGUUUAAGUUUACAUGGGUUACAAUAAAUGGGAGUUACAUGGAUAUUAAAUGAAAAAUUUAAUAGUAAGGUGGAUUUAAUUGUAAAUUUUCAAAAUCAUGGUUGGUUGAAUGGGCUCUAAAUUAUGUACACAUCGCCCGUCACUCUUGUUUAAAACAAGAAAAGUCGUAACAAAGUAGAUGUACUGGAAAGUGUAUCUAGGAUGCAAAAA